rnacentral:rRNA from 1 species
UUUCUCCCUUCUGACGAACCAUGAUGUCAUUUAUUUGGUGUUGUGGGGAAUCAGGACUGUUACUUUGAAAAAAUUAGAGUGUUUAAAGCAGGCUCACGCUUGAAUACAUUAGCAUGGAAUAAUGAAAUAGGACGUUUGAUUCUAUUUUGUUGGUUCCUAGGAUCGACGUAAAGAUUAAUAGGGAUAGUUGGGGGCAUUAGUAUUCAAUUGUCAGAGGUGAAAUUCUUGGAUUUAUUGAAGACUAACUACUGCGAAAGCAUUUGCCAAGGAUGUUUUCAUUAAUCAAGAACGAAAGUUAGGGGAUCGAAGACGAUCAGAUACCGUCGUAGUCUUAACCAUAAACUAUGCCGACUAGGGAUCGGAUGAUGUUAAUUUUUUAAUGACUCAUUCGGCGCCUUGCG